rnacentral:rRNA from 1 species
UUUAUGGAGAGUUUGAUCCUGGCUCAGGAUGAACGCUGGCGGCGUGCCUAAUACAUGCAAGUCGAGCGAACGGACGAGAAGCUUGCUUCUCUGAUGUUAGCGGCGGACGGGUGAGUAACACGUGGAUAACCUACCUAUAAGACUGGGAUAACUUCGGGAAACCGGAGCUAAUACCGGAUAAUAUUUUGAACCGCAUGGUUCAAAAGUGAAAGACGGUCUUGCUGUCACUUAUAGAUGGAUCCGCGCUGCAUUAGCUAGUUGGUAAGGUAACGGCUUACCAAGGCAACGAUGCAUAGCCGACCUGAGAGGGUGAUCGGCCACACUGGAACUGAGACACGGUCCAGACUCCUACGGGAGGCAGCAGUAGGGAAUCUUCCGCAAUGGGCGAAAGCCUGACGGAGCAACGCCGCGUGAGUGAUGAAGGUCUUCGGAUCGUAAAACUCUGUUAUUAGGGAAGAACAUAUGUGUAAGUAAUUGUGCACAUCUUGACGGUACCUAAUCAGAAAGCCACGGCUAACUACGUGCCAGCAGCCGCGGUAAUACGUAGGUGGCAAGCGUUAUCCGGAAUUAUUGGGCGUAAAGCGCGCGUAGGCGGUUUUUUAAGUCUGAUGUGAAAGCCCACGGCUCAACCGUGGAGGGUCAUUGGAAACUGGAAAACUUGAGUGCAGAAGAGGAAAGUGGAAUUCCAUGUGUAGCGGUGAAAUGCGCAGAGAUAUGGAGGAACACCAGUGGCGAAGGCGACUUUCUGGUCUGUAACUGACGCUGAUGUGCGAAAGCGUGGGGAUCAAACAGGAUUAGAUACCCUGGUAGUCCACGCCGUAAACGAUGAGUGCUAAGUGUUAGGGGGUUUCCGCCCCUUAGUGCUGCAGCUAACGCAUUAAGCACUCCGCCUGGGGAGUACGACCGCAAGGUUGAAACUCAAAGGAAUUGACGGGGACCCGCACAAGCGGUGGAGCAUGUGGUUUAAUUCGAAGCAACGCGAAGAACCUUACCAAAUCUUGACAUCCUUUGACAACUCUAGAGAUAGAGCCUUCCCCUUCGGGGGACAAAGUGACAGGUGGUGCAUGGUUGUCGUCAGCUCGUGUCGUGAGAUGUUGGGUUAAGUCCCGCAACGAGCGCAACCCUUAAGCUUAGUUGCCAUCAUUAAGUUGGGCACUCUAAGUUGACUGCCGGUGACAAACCGGAGGAAGGUGGGGAUGACGUCAAAUCAUCAUGCCCCUUAUGAUUUGGGCUACACACGUGCUACAAUGGACAAUACAAAGGGCAGCGAAACCGCGAGGUCAAGCAAAUCCCAUAAAGUUGUUCUCAGUUCGGAUUGUAGUCUGCAACUCGACUACAUGAAGCUGGAAUCGCUAGUAAUCGUAGAUCAGCAUGCUACGGUGAAUACGUUCCCGGGUCUUGUACACACCGCCCGUCACACCACGAGAGUUUGUAACACCCGAAGCCGGUGGAGUAACCUUUUAGGAGCUAGCCGUCGAAGGUGGGACAAAUGAUUGGGGUGAAGUCGUAACAAGGUAGCCGUAUCGGAAGGUGCGGCUGGAUCACCUCCUUUCU